AGGACGAACGCUGGCGGCGUGCUUAACACAUGCAAGUCGAACGGGAUUUAGUAGACAGAAGCUUCGGUGGAAGAUUACUAAUGAGAGUGGCGAACGGGUGAGUAACGCGUGAGCAACCUGCCUAUGACAGUGGGAUAGCCUCGGGAAACCGGGAUUAAUACCGCAUAAAAUCGUAGAAACACAUGUUUUAACGGUCAAAGAUUUAUCGGUCAUAGAUGGGCUCGCGUCUGAUUAGCUAGUUGGUGAGAUAACAGCCCACCAAGGCGACGAUCAGUAGCCGGUCUGAGAGGAUGAACGGCCACAUUGGAACUGAGACACGGUCCAAACUCCUACGGGAGGCAGCAGUGGGGAAUAUUGCACAAUGGGGGAAACCCUGAUGCAGCGACGCCGCGUGAACGAGAAGGUAUCGUAUCGUAAAGUUCUGUCCUAUGGGAAGAUAAUGACAGUACCAUAGAAGAAAGCUCCGGCUAAAUACGUGCCAGCAGCCG
rnacentral:rRNA from 1 species